GGGCCCAUAGUUUAAUGGAUAGAAUACGGGGCUUCGGACCCCGUGGUCGAGGUUCGAUUCCUCGUGGGCUCA
rnacentral:tRNA from 1 species